GACGAACGCUGGCGGCGUGCUUAACACAUGCAAGUCGAACGAAGUGGCGAACGGGUGAGUAACGCGUAAUCAACCUGCCCUUCAGAGGGGGACAACAGUUGGAAACGACUGCUAAUACCGCAUACUGAAGGAGGGGAUUGCGGCUGAUUAGCUAGUUGGAGGGGUAACGGCCAACCAAGGAGAUGAUCAGUAGCCGGUAUGAGAGGAGGAACGGCCACAUUGGGACUGAUACAAGGCCCCGACUCCUACGGGAGGCAGCAGGGGGGAAUCUUUCGCAAUGGACGAAAGUCUGACGGAGCAACGCGGCGUGAGUGAUGACGGCCUUCGGGUUGUAAAGCUCUGUUUAUCGGGAGGCGGGACCGGAAUAGAAAGCCACGGCUAACUACGUGCCAGCCGCCGCGGUAAUAC
rnacentral:rRNA from 1 species